UGUGUUGCAGCUUUCACUUUCUCUCCAUUUAACUGAUAUUCUGUUCUCCCUCCCAAAGUGAACAGCCGCUGUCCGCCUGGGAGAGAUGAUAGUGGAAAAGUGGCACUGCCUGGAAAUAUUCGCCGCUCUUCCCGCCGGAACUUUACCCGGAGAAGGCAGCACGCGAUGCCGGAAAUGGGAGCCGGAGUACGGCCCGAUCUGGCUCGGCCCUCCCUCCGCGGCCCCUGAUGCUGCCAGAUUUUCCAGUACCUUCCGUUUUUGUUCCUGAUUUACAGCAUCCACAGUUCCUUCGGUUUUUAUUCAAUCAGAGAAGACUUAUUGUGUGUUUCCUUCAGAUUAUCGAAAUCCCUAGUGAUAAUUUUAGAUAUCAAAUGUCAGUUUGUGGUGUCGGUCUGAUCUCUGACAAUGAAAAUUGUUUAGCCAAAACACGAGUCACUACACAUGAAUAAAAAGUCCUUGGAAGCUUUUUACCACCAUACUGUAUCUUACUGGCCUCACCACGAUGACUGGAAAAACCAUUACCUUUGUUCUGUUUACUGGCAAGCAAUGA